AGCUUUGAAAAAAGCAACGGUCCUGCUGAUGAGGAUGCCCUUGAAAACCAUGAAAACAAUGCAUCCAUCUAUGUGAAUCCAGUUUUGAAGAAGGAGGAUGGUUCAAGACUCUACAACAAGAAGCAUCACUGCUUUUAUUGUAAAAAAAAUAGUUCAAAAAAUGUCGAGACAUUUGUUGCGUAUGCACAAUGAUGAAAUUGAUGUCGCAAAAGCGUUCAGUCUACCAAAGAACUCCAAAGAAAGACGACUGCACUUAGAUUUCAUUAGAAACAAAGGAAACUUUGAACAUAACACCAAUGUUUUCGAGAGCCAGAAAGGAAAGCUCAUUCCUUUCAAACAACCAAAGAAAAAGACUGAGGGACAAGAAUUUCUACAUUGUGUGUACUGCUAUGGACUAUUUACAAAAAGAGUAAUGUGGCGACACUUUCAGGUUUGCAAAUUCAAGCCUCAGGAAAAAAAAUCUAAAUCAGGUAAAACAAGGGUCCAGGCACUGUAUGCUUUUGCUGAACGCGCUCCACCUGGAUUUAGUGAUGCAUACUGGAAGUUCUUGAAUGACAUGAAUCAAGACAAGAUUGCAUUAGCUGUAAAGCAAGACAGCUGCAUUCUGGAGUACGGCUACAGACUGUUCAAGAAGAACGAAAGAGUAAUCAGCCAACAUCAAUAUACCCGACAAAAGCUGAGGGAGCUUGGCAGGCUGAUUGUGGCUGCAAAAAAAGUUGCAGCAGUAAAGACUAUAAAAGAACUCAAAACCUGAGAAGUAUGUUCAUGUUGUAACUGCCGCAAGAUGCUUAGCUGGCUUCAGUGAUGAAACAGGCAAAUAUAAAUGUCCAUCACUGGCCAGAAAAGUUGGACACAGCUUACAUGCUUUGGCCAUGUUUGUGAAGUCGGAAGGAUUGAAGGCCAGAGAUAAAGAAAUUGUCAAAGGUGCUGAGGAAUUUGCUCAGCUGUACCAAGAAAGUUGGAAAUUUGACAUUGCAAGCCAAACACUGAUUCAGCUCAACCAGUCUAAGUGGAAUUGUCCUCAGCUCUUACCAUUCACACAGGAUGUCCAAAGACUUCAUUCCCAGCUGUCUGAAAAACAACAGCAACACUUAGAUGCCUUGAAAGAAGAGAUUUCCCCCUCGAACUGGAAAGACCUGGCAAAAGUGACCCUGGCGCAAGUAAUUCUCUUCAACCGCCGGAGAGAAGGAGAAGUAUCCUAAAUGCCCUUGUCUGUGUACUUGUCCAGAGACCAAUCAGAAACGCAUGAAGAUGCUAACUUGGCCCUUACAGAACUGGAGCAGAAGCUUUGCAAACAUUUUGUCCGGAUAACCAUAGUUGGAAAGAGAGGACGGAAAGUUCCUGUUCUCCUCACUCCACUCAUGAGGGAAUCUCUUGAUACUCUGGUUGAGAAGCGAGAAGAAUGUGGGGUACUGACUGAAAAUGGUUUCUUGUUUGCAUUGCCUCAUUCUGUCAACCACCUCAGGGGUUCUGACUGCAUAAGACAGUUAGUGCAUGAAUGUAGUGAUAUCAAAAAUCCCAAAGCUCUAACCUCAACAAAACUCAGGAAACACAUUGCAACGCUCUCUACUGUACUGAAUCUGAAGAACACAGAACUUGACCAGCUGGCAGAUUUCCUUGGGCAUAACAUUGAUGUACACAGAAAGCACUACCGCCUUCCAGAAGGGACCCUACAGCUCGCCAAGAUAAGCAAAGUUCUCCUGGCAUUGGAACAGGGAUAGUUAGGAAAAUACAAAGGAAAAAGCCUGGAUGAAAUUCACAUCGAUCCAAACGAGACUGUUGAAAUUGAGGCCUGUUCACAAGAGAACAUGGAAGAUGCCAGUAUGGCAGAUGUCCAGGGGUCGGAAGAUGAGACCAGGACCUCAACACUACAAGAAAGCAGCUUUGCCCAAAACCAGAAGAGGAAGUUUGCGAAAAAGAGAGUUGCUAGCAUUACAGAAGCACCGGAGUCAGAAGAUGAGGACAGUGUGAUGUCACUGCCAGACAGCACCUCUGCAGCACCAGAGAACCAGAGAAGCUCUGCAAAAACUAGAGGUGAGCUGAGAAGAAUAAUGUACAAAUUCUGUCCAUUUAUCUGUAAAAGACACAGGAACAAUGUACAAAUUAUAUAAUUGUAUAAAAUCUUUACUCUCUGUUACUACAAUUUUAUAGUUGUCACUAUGACCAAUCAAGGUAUACAUGACAAAGACCAAAA